rnacentral:rRNA from 1 species
UACGUAGGGUGCGAGCGUUGUCCGGAAUUAUUGGGCGUAAAGGGCUCGUAGGCGGUCCAUCGCGUCGGGAGUGAAAAGCUGGGGCUUAACCCCAGUCCUGCUUUCGAUACGGGUGGACUAGAGGUAGGCAGGGGAGAAUGGAAUUCCUGGUGUAGCGGUGAAAUGCGCAGAUAUCAGGAGGAACACCCGUGGCGAAAGCGGCUCUCUGGGACGGUACUGACGCUGAGACGCGAAAGCGUGGGGAGCAAACAGG